rnacentral:rRNA from 1 species
UACGAAGGGGGCUAGCGUUGUUCAGAAUCACUGGGCGUAAAGGGCGCGUAGGCGGCCGAUUAAGUCGGGGGUGAAAGCCUGUGGCUCAACCACAGAAUUGCCUUCGAUACUGAUUGGCUUGAGACCGGAAGAGGUCAGUGGAACUGCGAGUGUAGAGGUGAAAUUCGUAGAUAUUCGCAAGAACACCAGUGGCGAAGGCGGCUGACUGGUCCGGUUCUGACGCUGAGGCGCGAAAGCGUGGGGAGCAAACAGG